rnacentral:rRNA from 1 species
CCAAUAGCGUAUAUUAAAGUUGUUGCAGUUAAAAAGCUCGUAGUUGAAUUUCGGGAUUAAUAUGUUGGUCGUGCCUUGGUACGUACUGGCAUUUAUUGAUUCCUACCUUCUGAAGAACCUCGAUGUCAUUAAUUUGGUGUCUUGGGGAAUCAGGACUGUUACUUUGAAAAAAUUAGAGUGUUUAAAGCAGGCUCGCGCUUGAAUACAUUAGCAUGGAAUAAUGAAAUAGGACGUUUGAUUCUAUUUUGUUGGUUUCUAGGAUCGACGUAAUGAUUAAUAGGGAUAGUUGGGGGAAUUAGUAUUCAAUUGUCAGAGGUGAAAUUCUUGGAUUUAUUGAAGACUGACUACUGCGAAAGCAUUUGCCAAGGAUGUUUUCAUUAAUCAAGAACGAAAGUUAGGGGAUCGAAGACGAUCAGAUACCGUCGUAGUCUUAACCAUAAACUAUGCCGACUAGGGAUCGGAUGAUGUUAAUUUUUUAAUGACUCAUUCGGCGCCUUACGGGAAACCAAAGUGUUUGGGUC